AAGAUUGUAUUUUUAGUGUCAUUUUUGUGCAUUGUAGUGGCCAGUGUCACAGGUCAGACACCUGCGGCUGCACCAGCCAAAGCACCAGUUGGUGCUAAGGCUACUACACCACCAGCUGCUGCUCCCACAAAGCCUAAAACUCCUGCCCCUGCUACUGCACCUGCCUCAGCUCCACCCACAGCUGUUUCUACUCCUCCAGCAGCUGCACCAGCCACUGCUCCUACUACCCCUGUUGUUACUCCACCUGUAUCAGCACCACCAGCUAAAACACCAGCUAGUUCUCCACCAGCUGCAGUGCCUGUGAGUUCACCACCACCAGCGGUUACACCGGUGCAAUCUCCACCAGCACCAGCUCCGGUAGCAGCGACACCACCAGCUGCAUCUGCUCCACCU
rnacentral:lncRNA from 1 species